CUCCGGGGGAGCUUAAGAAGCUGAGAGGAAGUUUUUGACUUCGACCCCAGACCUGAUCCGGUUAAUGCCGGCGUAGGGAGCG
rnacentral:ncRNA from 1 species